rnacentral:rRNA from 1 species
UACGGAGGGUGCGAGCGUUGUUCGGAAUCACUGGGCGUAAAGCGCGCGUAGGCGGUCUGCUAAGUCUGAUGUGAAAGCCCGGGGCUCACCCCCGGAAGUGCAUUGGAAACUGACAGACUGGAGUCCCGGAGAGGAGGGUGGAAUUCCUGGUGUAGCGGUGAAAUGCGCAGAUAUCGGGAGGAACACCGGUGGCGAAGGCGGUUCUCUGGGCCUUACCUGACGCUGAGGAGCGAAAGCGUGGGGAGCGAACAGG